CCGACCCCCCGAGGCCCCGGCGGCCCACCGCUUUCCUGCGCCGCCACCCACACCUUGCCCCCUCGCCGGCCCGUCCCCUACUCCGCCCACGGCAAACCGCGGCCGGCGCCCUCACCGCCGCCGCCGACCACCACUGCCUGGCGGCCAGCCGCAGCCAGCGGCGACCUUGCCGUCGCCAUGCCUCGGGGCGCCGCCGUUUCCCAGCCUCCGCCGCUCCUCCGCGCACGCCUCAACUCCGCUGCACAACCACCGCCGGCCAAACCGCCGCCUUGCCUACCUCGGUUGCGCAUUUCUGGGCUCCUAUUGUUCGGGUUUCUGGCUCCUUUGGAAGAUGCGAAAGGCUAGAGGACCGGAGCGGCGAGAUCCAAGGAAGAGGACAGGCAGGUUCUGGGAAACAUAUGCCGAGAUGACAGAAACGGAGCGGAGGGAAGCGAAGAACCAAAUGUCCUAAAACGUGGAUGCAGUGGCCGCGUUCGGGCGACAUAGUGCUUGCUGGAAGAGGAUUACGGGGUGGUGUUUGCCGGAAUAGUUGGUCCGAUUGCACUGCUGCUCGGCCACUCGGCCACGUCCACGGAGCAGUCGGCCAUUGAAGGUGGCCACGCUGAUGUGGCCAUUGCUCAAUUCACCUUUCUUCACUGCAGAUGUUUGCAUUAUCCUAGUUACUGCUCGCCAUAAGGAACUCACAAGACGGAGAAGGGUCUGGCAAGUUGCAUUUGAAGGUCAAGAAGAGAUAUAUUCAAAAUUUGCAGAAGGGCCGCUGUUGAGAAGUGCAAAGGCUUGCCAUUGGCAACCAGGACACCAAAUAAAGAAAUGGUCAGAAGUUCUGAAAAAUGAGCUUCGGGACAUGGAGAAGUCAUGAGCUUCGGGACAUGGAGAAGUCAUGCACUGGGAUUAUGCGGGUGCACUGCUUAAACAUGAGUUUCCAGCGCAUGUCUUUGUAUUUUGAAUGGUGUUCCAUUGCCCUGUCACCUGUCAUUAAAGACGCUCAUUGUCCUAUGGUUCCCUCAGGUAAACUCACUUGUAAAGAUGAGAUUUCGAAGGGGGGAAUGCACAUGGCUUAGCUUCUGUUCGUCGUCAAAUUUGGACAGCUACUCAUGGGGACUCUGACAGAGACUGAUGUGAGUUUUCCAAACGGAUUGGUUUCAAUUUGCAGUCGUUGCAGUCUUGGUCAAGAAACCUAUGGCCACAUUAUUGAUGGCAUCUACCUCAAGAGGCUACAUGUUGCUUUAGCUCCUGUGAAGCCAAACCAUACCAAAAUCGGCUGCUGCAGACGCACCGAACAGAUACCACAAUAAUUGAAAUUGAAAAAUGCAAGAUGGCACGUGCGACGUGCCCUUUGCAUCCUAGGCUCGCGGACAAAAUACGUUGACGGACGCAGGGAGUUUGCAAAUUCAUGAUUACUACUAUGCGUGGGUCCCAAUUUCCAAAGGUCGAUCCAGGGCUGGAGCUGAGAGUCCAGUCAUGGGUGCCACUUCUCUUUGUUUUGUUUCCUUUUGAAAUAGAUUAGUUCGUUUCAAAAAAAAAGAGAAGAGAGAUUAGUUUCCAAAUAACGACCUCAGGGCUUGUUUUGAGAUAUAUGGGACUGCGGCCACACCAAAAGAGCUACUGGCAUGGCAUGGUAGUGACGGUCAGUUUUUGGUUACCACGAGUAAGGAUGCAAGUGGGUACCCAUUGGUAUUUUUGGGUUUCUCAUUUUAGUUUAUUUUCUUCCCCAAAUUAAUUACAUAGUAUGUCAUUCUAGUUCAUUUUAUCAAGUUUUGGGUCGACCCAAUGACCCAAAAAAUGUGGGACUAUCCCUAACCACGAGUGUGGGAAAACAUUGCUCGUUCACUAUUGCAAAUGAGUUAUUCUGUUCAAUGCAAUGGCCCUUGGCGUCCGUAUCAGUGACUAAUUUGUAACUGCAAUUUGCAGUAGUUAAAUUGAUCUGAUGUUGAGUUUUCCAUU